rnacentral:lncRNA from 1 species
NNNNNGUGCCAGCAGAGCAGGCAGCCUGUGCCCCAGCUGCAGCACUGCCCGCCGUGCCUGCCCCAUGCAGGGGGCUUGGGGAGGGCAGAGGAGUUCAGCUGGGGAGAACAAACUCCUUAAAAGGCUGGAUAUUCAGGCAGCCGAGGCUUUCCCAGGCAGCCAGGAGUUCCUGGAAGUUGGCUCCUGGUGCCAGAGAACAAGUCUUGGAGAGCUGCACGGGUGAACCUUCCUGAAAGGAGCCACCCUGUGCCAGCUCUUCCCCUGCCAUGUGCUGUUCUGGGGUGGCUGCUGUCCCUGCACGUCCCCUGCUUGCUCCCACGAUCCCUGCCACGAGCUCAGCUCCCAGAGGAGACCCAGCUCUCACCAGGCUUUGCUAUUACAGAGGGGUGGCCCAGGACCUCCGUUAUCACUGUCCCAGUGCCCCUCUGGCCCCAUUCCCUGCCUGGGAGCCUUCCACCAGACCAAGUCCCCUCUUCCUGGAUCCCAUGGACCUCUUCAAGUGCAAAACCUUCUUGCAGCAUCACUCUGGGCCUGUUUCCUCACUCCAGCUCUGUGUGCCACCCACGCCUGGCUCUCCUGGAGCCUCCUGACACGCUGAAUUCCUUCAUGUGCCUCUUGUUCUUCAGGGAUGCUGGUGAGCUGGCUCCAAGAACGGACUGCAGGGAGCUCUGCUGGCUGCUGUGCUGGUCCCCCAGCACCCCCUGUCCUGUCCUUUACAGCCCAAAUGCUCCCGUGUCACCUCGUUCUCCUUCAGCCUUCCUUGCAGCUGUCCAAAAAAAACCCCACCUACCCCCCAAAACGAGCUCCGGGUUUUUUUCGAGAUGCCAAGUCCAUCUGGUACAGUCUAUCCCUGAUAAACAGCCUUCCCUCGGGGCCUCUCGGGAGCAGAAACAGCGCCGGGGCUGGACCUGCCCGAGCAAACAUUCCUCCCCGCACACGCACGUCUGCUGCCCGCUGGCAGCGCGGCCACCCCGGGAGCCUGGGCACCAGCCACGGUGGCUCCGGCACGUCCCACCCCGGACAGGGACCCUUCCUUCCCACCCCGGGACAGGGACCUUUCCCCACCCCGGACAGGGACCCUUCCUUCCC